AGUGGGGCUGGGGGUUGUCUGAGGGGAGGCGGGGGGCCCUGGCUCCCCUCAGACAACCCCCGGCCCCCUCAGCAAGGAGCGGUGCCUAUGUGAGGUGAGAGACGGAUGUGCAAUCGUAAUAACACAUAUCAGACCAAAUACAGGUAAUUACGUGAAAAAAAACCCCAGUUUUCUCCUUCUCAGCAUUAUGGCAACUCAACGCUUCCCAGAACUAAACAGGCUUGCUUAGGGAGAGACGCGCUUUCCCUGGGAUGCAGCCGAAACUUUCCAAAAAUUGAGCACAAGAAGCAGAAGGAAGCAUUCUUCCCUGAAAUAAAUCUCGCUAAGUGAUGUUUUUGGAAGCAGUAUGGUCAUACCUCUUGUAGUGCGAAGAAAAUGAACUGAGACAGCAGCUCGGUGGCCAGCUUCCCUUCAGAUGGUUUUCAGGACGCAAGCGGGCUUGCUGCCUUGCUGCUACUGGAAGCAUCUCUUUCAGGGAGACCAAAUGUGGUGUAACGUAAAAGACUGCAAUACUUCCUGGGGUAAAAAUGCUGGGUUUUUUAAUGACCUACUCUAUUACUAUCCGAGCAGGUGGGUGUUAGUAUGCGCAGCUGGGAAUCUGUUUUUAUGCUCCUGCAUGUGUACUAGGGCAUGCUUCUGGGCUGGGAUGUCAAAGAAGUAAAUCAGGACUCUGGUUAAAGAAUCAAACUGUCUCUCAUGGAGCAUUAAGUUGACUUUAUUACUGUAAUGCUUUUUCAUAGAACUUGAAAUUCAGUAUUUUUGAGGCUUUCCUAAGUGAGGGAAAGAAUUAUUACAAUAAAAGCAUAAUAACAUUCUUUAUUACACCAUUUUCUGUGCCACCCAACUAAUUUGAUUAAUUGACGUCUCUCCCCUUUUUACAAUGUGCUGGUUUACGUAAUAUCGUAUCUGAUGUCACACAACCGCUUAUUAGCGGGUAAUGACAUUUUUCAUAUAUUUUGCACGGGAAGGGUUUAUAAAGUUUUGCAGAGGGAGAUGGCUAAUUUUUUCCUUAUUGGGACACUUGCCAUGUGUGCCGCCAAUAUUUUCUGUUUAGUUGGAAGAAACGAAGAUCCAGUCUUUUCUCAUUUAUCCUCACUGCGAUGACAGCUCCAAUGUUACUUUUAAAAGGAAAUACAAAUCAUGAUUCUCCUUAGCUGACACUGGAGGGGUUUGAGCAGCGCCAAUUGCUUCCUGAUGCUACCAGUUUGCUUCAUGCACUACAUUUUUCACAGCAGCGCUCUGGAGGUGGGACAAGCGGCUGAGGAAGCCAUGGGAGUGGAGGAAGCAGAGGCUGUGGAAGGGCGAGCAGCGAGGUGAAGCAGGGAUCUGUGACCGUUUGCAGGUGGCAGCUCUCCCCAGGAGCCCUGGAUGCUGAGGGGCAAGGUCCCUGCCUCGUCUCAUUGAAAGCCAAAGCUGGCAAAACACUGGCAGAAGCACAGCCGGGGACAGUCCUACGCUGUCAUUCCUGGACAGACCGUUCCGGGCAGACAGAUCUAAAAGAUGGGCUUAAUCAGCUGGAUGACAGUGGAGUAAAAAAAAUAUGGAGAAACGCUUACAAAGCACAGACUUCAGCGUGGCCAAUGUGCUUUUCAUGAACAUUAUACUUACUGAAACACUGUUUAUGCUGAAAAAAAUCCAAGUGACAACAAAAGCUAUGAUCUCAGCAGCAGCUUUGAUCCCAUAAUAAGACUGACUAAAAGACUUUCAGCCAUUUAGAACUCAAGUUAAAAACGGUUUGUGAAGAACAGUAGAGGAGCACUAAACGGUAAUUUUAAGCGAUAUUAAUGCCAGUUGGAGAGACUACAAGAAGAAAGUUCUUCAGCUUUCAGUGCUGUUAAAUUUAAGUGAGUUUGUGUAAUCUGGCAAACCCCCGCUGCCGUGAGCUCAGUACUGCACAACUGCAUCACGCUACAGCCGGGAGCGAACUGGCCACUGGUGUGGUCACCUCUCCCUACAUGGCGUUGAAAAAUGGGUUUUAUGUGUUUGGUCAAAAAUGAUGAAAUAGGCAUUGAUAUUUAGCAUUUUUCCUUUAUAUUAAAGAGUUUCUAUGAGAAAUAGAGCAAAGGAAAAUGGGAAAUGUUUAAUAUCAUGUGUAGUCUAAACAGAAGUGCUGGUCUGGGAAAACAAGCUUUUGGUAUAUUCAAAUGUUCAACGUGUUUUAUCAGUUUUUUUUUUCAAUCUACACCCUGAUCUCCGAUUUUGCACAUCAGCAGAUUGGUACGUCAAGAUCUAAUAAUUUUACAGAUUUUUACUCAUAUUUUACUGAUGGGGAACGUGAUCUUAAAUCAGUUUCUCUGGAAAUGAUUGGCAUACUAAUAUAGAUCAGGAGAUGUUUAUGCCCAGCUCCAGCACAAUCCACAGACCUAUUUUUUGUGGUUUUUUUUUUUCACAUCUAGAUCUAGACAAAAUCACUGAAUCACAGAAUGGCAGAGGUUGGAAGAGACCUCUGGAGAUCACCUCAUCCAACCCCCUGCAUGAGCAGGGACACCCAGAGCAGGGGCACAGGACCGCGUCCAGGCGGGGUUUGAAUGUCUCCAGGGAAGGGACCCCACAGCCUCUCUGGGCAGCCUGUGCCCCUGCUCUGGCACCCGCACAGGGAAGGGGAUUUUCCUCAUGUUGAGGUGGAACUUCCCGUGUUCCAACUUGUGCCCAUUGCCCCUUGGCCUGUCAUUGGGCACCACAGCAAAGACUCUGGUCCCAUCCUCUUGAUACCUGCCCUUCACACAUUUAUAAGUAUUGAUAAGAUUCCCCCCGUGUCUUCUCCAGGCUGACCAAACCCAGGUCUCUCAGCCUUUCCUCACAAGGGAGAUGCUCCAGCCCCCUGACCAUCUUGGUAGCUCUCGGCUGGACUUGCUCAAGCAGUUCCGCAUCCUUCUUGAACUGGGGGGAGUCCAAAACUGGACACAGCACUCCAAAUGUGGUCUCACUAGGGCAGAGUAGAGGGGGAGGAUAACCUCCCUUGACCUGCUGGCCACACUCCUUUUAAUGCACCCCAGGAUAUUGUUGGCCUUCUUGGCCACAAGGGCACUGCAUGGAGCAGUCAUUGGGUUUCUCCUGCAAUUUGUAGAACACAUUAUUUUUCAUCUGGUGACCAGCCUUCCUAGCACUGUGUUCGUUAUCACCAGCAAAAUGCAUCUAACUCAUUAGCUAAGCAGCUUCUGACAGGGAAUACAAUGUGAUCUGGAAAAUUAUUUCGCUGUUUCACUAAAUCAAACUGAAAUGUCAGGGAUUUGGGUUUGAUACCCUCCCAAGUCUUUAAGAAAAUGCAAUUUACGGCAGCAGCCAGAUUAAUAUUUUAUAUUUUACAGAUGCAAAUUUGACAUUUUCUGUCGGAAGAUCUCUGGCGCUCUUGCUGACACUAAUACAUUCGCAAUGAAAGCCCGGGAUAGGGCAAGUUCUGAUCAGAAGUUGUAUGCUGUGUGUCAAACAAAACUCUCUGCUGUUUUUCUAUUAUGGGGGAGUUGCUUUUUAAUGUCAGUGUGUCUGUACUAAAUCAAUGACAGCAUGAGAUGUGGGGCUUGGGUUGCAGCGUAAACCUACGUUCAGGUUUUGCUGAUUUUUUUUUUUUUUAAGAAAAACUGCAUUCCCAAUUGUGGAAUUUUAUUCUUCCUGAUAUCAUUGUUAUUAGAUGUUAUUAUAAUGUGCUGAUAUAUCUGUAUUGACAUCUCAGAUGAAAUGAUUUGCUGCCAGUUUAAGAGCCUGAUGCUAUAAUCUGCUGUUAGGUAGGACUGGGGGUCAGAUCUGUAAUACAUUCACAAUCAAAAUAUAUUCACACAUGUAUCUGAGGCAAAAAAAAAAAAAAUAUAUAUUGGCAGAGGUGUAACACACAUCAUUGAAGUAUUGCUGUGAAUAUUGUGCUUAAGAUUUCCUUCCUGAAUCCCUGAUUGCAUCCACCCUUUCCUUUUGAAAGUAUUUUUAAUUGAGGGUAGUAUUCCAUUCUUGGUCUUGUCCAAACAAAUCUAGAAGAUUUAAAGGAAAUUACUCUGUCAAAGAAAAAAGGGGAAGAACUUUAACUGUUUUUCUGUAUAAGACACGAUGAUUGUUGCAGUUUUCCACGCAGAUAGCUCAAACCUAUACUGACAUUUUGGCUGACCUUGCUUCCAAAGGUGAAUGUGAAAAACAAUAGCAGGGGAGCGAAUGCUGAGCGUAUUUAAAGCACAAUAAUGGGAAAUGCUGAUGACCUCUCGUUGCCACCGAACCCUUUUCCUUUCCCUGGCAAAACCUAUGGCUCGUCCCCACCACUGCGCUACCGGCCCCCGGUUCCGUCAGCCCCCUCAAUAAGCUGAGAGGUGGUGAAAACAACCAGCCGCCCUUCAGGUGGGAGCGCAGGAGCACCUGACAAGCCCUUGGAGUGAGUUGGUGUUUGGGAACUGGACUUCUGACGAACUGUUCUUGAGCUCUAUGGCUUAUCCUAAGACAACAGCGUCAACAGUAUAUUGUAAUUUCAGGGUCAACAUUUAGUGAUAACUCAGAGAAACCGCAGAACGGCUGUGGCAGAUAUUAAUAGGAAGCAUAAAAAAAUAAAUCUUGAAGGAGGAGCAUAUCUUGGAUUAACAAUGCCUGUUGCCAAAACUAUUUGCUGCAUACUCAGUGCACACAUAAAUGAGAAAAGCAUUGCAACACUACAAAGAUAUUAUUACUGAUUCAACACAUCGUGCCGCGUCAGCAAGAUCAUUCACUGCCGGACGCUGUUCCUUUUCUUACAGACCCCCGUGCCCAAACUGUGACUAAGGCAGUUCCUGCGUACAUCCAGAUCGGGGUGGUACGGCUGUAGGCUGAAACACGGUUGUAGCCUUCAGUAAAGAGACCCCCUCAGCCCCCAGGGAGCCAAUUAUGACAUUUGGAGCCCGUUUAUUUUUCUGUUGACUUCCUUGAAGACAUGUGUUCUGAGCAGUGAUUCAUCCACUAGUUCUUCCCAGUCCCGUGGGACCUGUGAAAGGGUUGUUUAAAAUCGCUGUGUUUCUUUUCCAUUUCCUGGAAGCCCUCGGUGUUUGGGGCAGGUUGCUGGGCUACACGCCACUGCUGGACACCUUCCACAGCCGUGCCGGGGCCAGGGAUGGCCAUUGAAAUGUUAUCUUCUGGGUGUAACGCCCGUGACAUUAUCCCCCUGAAAAUCCCAGCGCUCCACUUUUGUAGGAAAAUUACUUUUCCUAUCGGGGACACAGGGUGUGAGACUCUCUGUGGGAAAUAUUCCCAGGGAAUAAAGGCUGGGGAUGUGGUGAGAGCUGCGUUGCUCUUCCAGGUGUCAGUAUAGGAAACAAAAAACUUUGCUCUUGCUUGUUGAGCAGAAAGUGCAGUAAAAUGGGAGCCAGGGCUAGAUAAUACUGGUCUAGAAGCUGAAAUGGUGUUGGGACAGCUAGGGAUGGAGGCAGGGGGGUCCUUUAUGGAAGAUCCAUAUGAAUAGUUACACUUGAGUGAAAGCUUAUAUUGAGGUAGGGAUUUUUUUUGCUGUUAUUUACAUUCAUGAAAAAGUGAAGUCUGGAAAGCACAGAAGCCUAAACCCAGAGGCUGUGCUGUCUUCUAAGCUUUACACUUACAGCCUCUUUUGCAGACUUCUUCUCACAGGGCUUUCAUUAUGACAAGUGCAGGGUUCUUGCCUUUGCUUUAUUUUUCUGUGGGGCAAAGUAGUUUUCAGCAGCAAGUAAGUAAUGCUCACUUCACCUGUGUCCAGGCUGAACUCGAGUGCUCUGUGUCACGCACGUCUUGUCUAAAGCAUCGCGGCUACCCAGGGAUCUGUGCUCCAUCCCACUUCUCACCCUGGGGAUUUUCAAUGCCACAGCUCUGCCUGGGCUGAUGCGCUUCCUAGUAAUUGCCAAAUUACCGAUCUGGUCCUAGUAAUAACCACCCAUAUAAUUUUAUUUUGGGCCAAUUCUUCACAAGGCAUACAGUGCAUGGGGAUCUCGGGGUGCUGGGAAUGUUUUUCACUUUGUCAGUCAAAGUAUUUUGGCAUGUGUAAUAUUUUUGAUAACCAUAACAGAGCUGUUUGAGUGUACUAAUAUACUGACAAUUUGAUCAAUGCUCAGCAAGAAAAGCAGAGCUGGGCAUAGUAAUAGGCAGUCUUUAAAGGAAGAGAAAACUUGAAAAUGUAGAUUUUAAGCAAAAAUUUUGUGCUGGUUUUGGCUGGGAUAGAGAUAAUUUCCAUGACAAAGUUAUACAAGGAUGAGGAAUUGUGAUUAGUUUGCAGCGUGACUUUGGUACAUCUGAACCACUUUGGAAAAUGAGAUCUUUGACUCCCAGGUAGUGCAGAUUUUGAACACCUGACUAUCAAAGCUGUGUUUUUGCUCAGUGUGAAUAGUUGUGACAUUUAUUCACUAAAUCAUAGAUGUCUAAGCACUAAAACAUCUAAAUCUUGUUCAGACAUACAGGUCUAGAUCCUCAGCCAUGCUUAGGUGCCUUUCAGGAUCCAGGACUAAAUUACUGGAGAAAAAUGUAAUCUUUGGGAAGUAUAUACCUGCUGCUGUGGGCUGAGGAAUGACCAAAGACAAAGCCACUUUGUAUGAAAUGUAAUGACAUUAAGAAUGUAAUUGGAAAAUUUUCCUAUUCUAAAAAACCCCAUACGAUCCUGGCUCCUUUGUGAGGGUAGCCCUCUGCCUGCAGCUUGGCUGCAAGAGGAGAAGGAAGCAUGGACACUUUGCGCUUGCUGGUGCCACCCCUCCUCCACAGCAUGUACCAGAGCAGGGUCUCGUUGUGAGAGUGUCUUGUUCCACCCAUCUCACCUCCAGUGAAUCUACUGACUCUCUAAUUCCCUGGAAUAAUGAGAUUUUAAGAAGUUAUAAAAGCACUAAUCGUUUGUUUCUUCUCUUUUGGUGGUGAUGUAAACACUCCCAUGCAGCACAGAAAAGCCAUCCAAAAUAACACUGUCAUUACCAGUGCUUGGAAAGACCCCGAGGGACGCAUUCCCCAAAGAAAUUAAGAGUCAGUUCUUGUUCACCAGCGGGUUAUAUGUAAAUUGGAUAGCAGGGCAUUUAAUUGGAGAUCUCAGAGCCUAAGUCUGCCCCAAAGCAGUUAUUGUUUAGAGUGUAACUGUAAGCUGGAAGAAGUGUGAUUUUAUGCAGUUUGCCAAGGGAAGCAAACACUCCAGAUCUUGUGCGGGGGCCAGGAUGGGAUGUUAUUGCUUGGCAUCAUUCUCAAAAGCAGGAUCUUUAUCUGUUCCCUUUCCUGAGGUCAGUUUUCUCUUUCCAUUUUACAUUCUCUGUAAUUUUACAAAGCAGUAUGCUUGGCAUUUGUUGUUAGAUGUUAGAUAUUUGAAAUAAAAGUGUCACAGCAGUUCACUGCCUUGUUGCAUUUUAUCUGAACGCUUUGUGGUUGCGGAUCUCAUUGUAGAUAUGCCACAUGAACUGACUGCUCAAGUGUCCAGAACAAAUUUUGCAUUUGCUUUCCAGAUAAAAGAAGACAACUUCUUUUUUUUUUUUCCCUCUUCGAUUUCUUCUAAACUAAGACUUCACUGAAUGGUGAUCAUGCAGACCCUGGGCUAGAUCUGUGUGAGCAAAGCAUUGGAUGUGCAAGGGAACCCUCUGAACAGAGAGCUGAUGUUCACCCCAGCUCUGUGCAGGGUGCAGAGCAUACAGGCAGGGCAGGAAAGGAAGCUGAAGCUGUUACUCAUGGAACGUGCAGCCAUUUACACACAGAGCACCUGAGACGGAAGGAAUUCCAGCAGAUCAGGAUAGGUGAAGCUGGUACAAGCCCUUUCCAAGCCAUCCCUCCGAGGCUGAUGGGGAACACUGGCGACGUUAGAGGGACAAAGAGGGAAGUUUCCCACCCAGGUGACUGCAUGGUGUGAGCUCUUCUCUGAAGGUUAGCUUUCUUUUCAGUCUUGGGCUCUGUUUAAAAAUAUCAAACAACUUGUAUAGCUCAGGAGGGUAGCUGCAUGUCUGAACAGUGCGUAAUCAAAACAGAGGCCACAGGAGAUGUCCGCAGCCAGUUUGGCGUAGUGUGAUUUGCCUUACUCAUCCAAGCGAGAUCACAGCCUUUAUGUCCAGUUAUGGUAAUUUAAAUACUAACAUUAUUGGGAAUUUCAUUCCUGACAGAAGCGGGGAGAGGUAAGGUUGUAGCCUUCCCAUGUCAUUGGGAUCGGGUCCUUGUUGCGUUGCCCCACUGCUGGUGUUAAGAGGCGGCUGGAAUUUAGGAUUUGCCUGAAUGGAAGAGGUUAAGUUAUAAAUAAAACAAGUUGUAAGUGAAAGGUUAUA